rnacentral:rRNA from 1 species
CCUACGGGUGGCAGCAGUGGGGAAUAUUGGACAAUGGGCGAAAGCCUGAUCCAGUCAUGCCGCGUGUGUGAAGAAGGCCUUCGGGUUGUAAAGCACUUUCAGUGGGGAAGAAAGCCUUGGGGCUAAUACCCUCGAGGAAGGACAUCACCCACAGAAGAAGCACCGGCUAACUCCGUGCCAGCAGCCGCGGUAAUACGGAGGGUGCGAGCGUUAAUCGGAAUUACUGGGCGUAAAGCGCGCGUAGGCGGUCUGAUAAGCCGGUUGUGAAAGCCCCGGGCUCAACCUGGGAACGGCAUCCGGAACUGUCAGGCUAGAGUGCAGGAGAGGAAGGUAGAAUUCCCGGUGUAGCGGUGAAAUGCGUAGAGAUCGGGAGGAAUACCAGUGGCGAAGGCGGCCUUCUGGACUGACACUGACGCUGAGGUGCGAAAGCGUGGGUAGCAAACAGGAUUAGAUACCCUGGUAGUC